GUGGGGAAUCUUGCGCAAUGGGCGAAAGCCUGACGCAGCCAUGCCGCGUGAAUGAUGAAGGACUUAGGAUUGUAAAAUUCUUUCACCGGGGACGAUAAUGACGGUAACCGGAGAAGAAGCUCCGGCUAACUUCGUGCCAGCAGCCGCGGUAAUAAGCAGGGGGCUAGCGUUGCUCGGAAUUACUGGGCGUAAAGGGCGCGUAGGCGGACAGCUUAGUCAGAGGUGAAAGCCCAGGGCUCAACCUUGGAAUUGCCUUUGAUACUGGCUGUCUUGAGUUUGGGAGAGUUAAGUGGUACACUGAGUGGAGAGGUGAAAUUCGUAGAUAUUCGGAAGAACACCAGUGGCUAAGGCGACUCACUGGCCCAAUACUGACGCUGAGGCACGAAAGCGUGGGGAGCAAACAAGAUUAGAAACCCUUGUAGUCC
rnacentral:rRNA from 1 species